CUUUAAAAGAAAUGAGGCAGAAAUUAAAUGGAAAACUUGACUUAAUACAUGCAUGCUCAAAUGAACCAGAAGUGAGUCAUUGAUUUUUUGCAGAUGUACAGUUGUAUUGUAAGCCACCUUGAGGAUGAUUCAGUUGAAAGCCAGGAUAUAGUAAAAUCUAUCAUCAGCAGGAAUGGUUUUGAGCGCCUUUACUUAAGUUUCUGGAUGUAAUACUCAUUAGAAGUAGUUCAACACAUUAUGUGCCAGAAGAGGGAUUUAUGCAAGAAACUUCCUGUUAGUCUAAGUGACUACAACUCCCAUCAUACUCAAGUUAGAAAGUUGGAGAGCUUCAGAUAUAGGAAAGCUGGUCCAUGGUCAGUACUUAAUGGCCAAGUAACAGCUUUAAUAUAAUGUAGUUAUACCAUUUUAACUCAAGAUGUGGCAGCACUAUUGUUAUGCUAUUACAUUUAUCUAUUACACUUUGAUGCCUUCCGUUAUUUGCUAUUAUUCUACUGUGUUUUACCGGAAAAUUAAAACGAAUGGACUGGACAGUUUUCCUUUGAAAGUACAUUUUAUUGUUUACAAACUACCCAUAGGAAAAAAAUACUGGAGUAUUUAGAUAUGAACUCCACAAAUGCUGACUUCUUUGCCCAUCUCGAUUUCCAUUCUCAAGCUUUGGAUCUCUCUCCAUGUCGGAUGAAUUUCUUCUCGUUGCUCCACUCCCUCCUCCCUGUUUUUCUGCUGCCCAGUUUCAGAAAGGGUGUUCAUCUCCAACAUUAAUAUUUUGUGAGAGGUGCUGGCGAAUGGAAGCUGUUUGUCAAAUCAACCCAUUCACAGUGCACUAUUUAAGCAGCAGCAGUGCAGCUCCAACCUUCGCCAGCCAUCGAACCAAAAUUAAACUGCCGCUUGAUGAAGCAAUUACAUCUCAGAACUUUUUCACGGUUUCACAAGAGUCCAGCAUUUACUUUCGUGAUCGUUUGUUUUCAACAAGCAACACUGCAAGCCUGUUACGGAGAACUAUUAUUUUAUUGGAAUAAGUUCUUAAAAAUAGGUCUCUCAACAUUGCCCGUAAAGCUCCCAAAGAAGGCAAGUGGUUGCAGUCUUGUAUGUUCAGCAAAGUAAAGAAGAAUUCAGUCCAGACUUCUCCGUUGGGAAUCCUAAGGAAUAAGGAAAAAAGUAAAAACUAAAGCAACCUUCCCAGAUGUGGCCAGAUGUGUCUCUUAGGACCAGCCUCACAAGUGGCUUGGAAAGCUGUGUCAACCAUUUCAGCAGAGGAAGUGUAGUUCUAUCCAAAACAGUCUGUACAGUGAAUCCCAAAUCAGAUUUCCUGCUGGCCAAUACCAGCUCUGGGCUGUUGGAUCAACAAUAAAACAUUUCAGUGUAUCCUCAGAUUUCUUUUGGGAUUCAGAAACAGAGACAUACUGUUCUCUCAAACUCUCCAUCCCAUUACCUGCAUUUCUCUUUUCAGUGACACUCUGCAUUGAAUGGCUACUGAACAUGGUGAAAAGUUAACGGAUUCACUAUACUUCUUCUAACCUUGAGGGCCAUUUAUAUGAAAAAUAAAUGUGCUGGAUUAAUCACCUUUUUUGCAUUUAUACUAUUGGCUGUCAUAACUUGAGCUGUUGGAGGGAAUUGCUAAAAAUCCUAACGUUACUUUCUUUAAAGUAUUUCUAUUAGCAUAAUCAGGUUUUAUUAAAAGUGCCUUAAAGUCA